UACAGAGGUCUCAAGCGUUGUUCGGAUUCAUUGGGCGUAAAGGGUGCGUAGGUGGCGGGGUAAGUCAGGUGUGAAAUUUCGGAGCUUAACUCCGAAACUGCAUUUGAUACUGCCUUGCUUGAGGACUGGAGAGGAGACUGGAAUUCAUGGUGUAGCAGUGAAAUGCGUAGAGAUCAUGAGGAAGACCAGUGGCGAAGGCGGGUCUCUGGACAGUUCCUGACACUGAGGCACGAAGGCCAGGGGAGCAAACGUG
rnacentral:rRNA from 1 species